UACGGAGGGUGCAAGCGUUAUCCGGAAUCACUGGGUUUAAAGGGUGCGUAGGCGGUUCUAUAAGUCUGUAUUGAAAUCUCAUCGCUUAACGAUGGAACCGGUAUGGAUACUGUAGGACUUGAAUCAAAAUGAGGUAAGCGGAAUGGGACAUGUAGCGGUGAAAUGCUUAGAUAUGUCCUAGAACACCAAUUGCGAAGGCAGCUUACUAGACUUGUAUUGACGCUGAGGCACGAAAGCGUGGGGAUCAAACAGG
rnacentral:rRNA from 1 species